GAUGAACGCUGGCGGCGUGCCUAAUACAUGCAAGUCGAGCGAACGGACGAGAAGCUUGCUUCUCUGAUGUUAGCGGCGGGCGGGUGAGUAACACGUGGAUAACCUACCUAUAAGACUGGGAUAACUUCGGGAAACCGGAGUUAAUACCGGAUAAUAUUUUGAAUCGCAUGGUUCAAAAGUGAAAGACGGUCUUGCUGUCACUUAUAGAUGGAUCCGCGCUGCAUUAGCUAGUUGGUAAGGUAACGGCUUACCAAGGCAACGAUGCAUAGCCGACCUGAGAGGGUGAUCGACCACACUGGAACUGAGACACGGUCCAGACGCCUACGGGAGGCAGCAGUAGGGAAUCUUCCGCGAUAAGCGAAGGCAUGACGGAGCAGCGCCGCGUGAGUGGUGAAGGUCUUCGGAUCGUAAAACUCUGUUAUUAGGGAAGAACAUAUGUGUAAGUAACUGUGCACAUCUUGACGGUACCUAAUCAGAAAGCCACGGCUAACUACGUG
rnacentral:rRNA from 1 species